rnacentral:tRNA from 1 species
GCACCUAUAGCUCAGUUGGAUAGAGUAGCACACUCCGAAUGUGAAGGUCAGGAGUUCAAGUCUCCUUAGGUGCA